rnacentral:rRNA from 1 species
AUUGAAAGCUGGCGGCAGGCCCAACACCUGCAAGUCGAACGAGUGGCGGACGACUGAGCAACGUCUGUGAAACCGCCUGAUGGCGGGGGCUAACUACCGGACACGUUAGCUACUACCGCAUCCCACCGGAUUUGCUCAGAUUGGAUUAGCUAGUAACUGGGGUAAAGGCUCACCUAGGCGACGAUCCCUAGCUGGUCUGAGAGGAUGGCGAGCCACACUGGAAGUGAGACACGGACCAUACUGCUACGGGAGGUAGCAGUGGGGAAUAUUGGCCAAUGGGCGCGAGCCUGAUGCAGGCAUGCCGCAUGUAUGCAGAAGGCCUUCGGGUAGUAAAGUACUUUCAGCGGUGAGGCUGUACCCGCAGACGAAGCCCCGGCUAACUACGUGCCAGCAGCCGCGGUAAUAC